GGAGCGGAGCUGUGCCCACAGAGGGUGAAGCAGGAGGAACAGGAUGCUGCACGGUGUGUUGGUGUUGGAUGGGCAGAUCCUGAAGUUGGAUGUCUGCCUUCUGUAUGGGAAAGGCCUGGCAAGCAAGGCUGCACAGGGGCUGAAGGAGCACUGUGAUGCCAGGUGUGGGUCCUGGUGUAGUUGGAG